rnacentral:tRNA from 1 species
GCCUGGGUGGCUCAGUUGGUUAAGCAUCUGACUUCGGUUCAGGUCAUGAUCUCGCGGUCCGUGAGUUCGAGCCCCACGUCGGGCU